UACGUAGGGACCGAGCGUUGUCCGGAAUCAUUGGGCGUAAAGAGCGUGUAGGUGGCCCCAUAAGUCCGCUGUGAAAGUCAAAGGCUCAACCUUUGAAAGCCGGUGGAUACUGUGGGACUAGAGUACGGAAGAGGCGAGUGGAAUUCCUGGUGUAGCGGUGGAAUGCGCAGAUAUCAGGAGGAACACCAAUAGCGAAGGCAGCUCGCUGGGACGUUACUGACACUGAGGCGCGAAAGCGUGGGGAGCGAACAGG
rnacentral:rRNA from 1 species